GGUGCUUCCUCAGCCUGCUGCUCCUCUCUGGGCUGGAGAGCGAUACUAAAACCCAAUGAAACCAGAAAGUACUGGCACUUUCCUUGUGGUGUGCUUUUCCUAGAGGCGCUUCGCCAGAAACCCAGGCAGCAGAGCUUACUUAGUGCCAGCUAUCACCUUCAGCCACACCAAGAAUCUGGUUGAGAUGAAAACCCCCAGAAGCACUGCAUCCUUCGAAAGAUGGAUUUUGGUCCAGACAGAGGGCUGCUCUAUGGCCAUAUGUGCAAAACUCCAGAGCAGAUGAGUUUCUUCACAAGAGAAACAGGGGAACCCAGUUGCUAUUGAUAGUGGCCUGCAAACAAUCACAUCUAUGAAUUGCUGCAGAGAGGAGGGUGGAUGAUCCAUCCAGAAGACAAGAAGAGAAGAGAGACUUCACAUUGCCACGUCCCAUUGUGCCCUGGGCUGUAUCAUUACUGCCUUCACAUGUCCCAGGGCCACAUCUUCAGAUUUUACAAAGUGCUGUGCCAAGAGAGAUUUUGAAACACAUUCUUUCCACAAAACAACAUACUGAAGCGCUGAUGGAUGGGUCCAACACUCCGAUUGUCUUGUAGACAGAAGGAUAUGUAAAAUGUCAAUGACUUGGGAAUGAUGAUCAUACAAUGAUGCCUGAAGACAGGUGGAUGAGUUCAACAUGCAAUCCAUUUUGAAAGGAGGAAGAAGAGAGGUAGAAGCUUCAUUUUAGUUUAGAGCGUUCUGACGGGAAGACCUGUCAGUCAUUCUGAAGAUGAUUCUUGAGUUCUGCCUGUGUUCAUGGAGUGAAUUAUAGCAAACAAUGAAUCCUGUAAGGUAUUUAGCUCCUUACUAAGUUAAAGGGAUUUCUGUAGUGCUGGCAGGUCACUUUAUGUCAGUCCACUAGCAUCCUUGCCUGCCACCUCCCUGCUCGUGUUUCUUCCCUUGAA